UUUCCAAAAAAGUUAGAAUAACUUCCUCUCGCGGAGACCUCGGUUUUGCACAAGCCGGCCUUGAAAUCAGAGCCUCUCGAGCAACUCGGAGAGCGUGUGCUCGGCGACCGCGGGCUUGGGCAGCGGCGCGCGCUCGGCGCCCGGCGCCCCUAGCCCCAAGCGCGCCGGGCGGGCGCCAUGGAGGAGGGCUCCAGCUCGCCCGUGUCCCCCGUGGACAGCCUGGGCACCAGCGAGGAGGAGCUCGAGAGGCAGCCCAAGCGCUUCGGCCGGAAGCGGCGCUACAGCAAGAAGUCGAGUGAAGAUGGCAGCCCGACCCCAGGCAAGCGCGGCAAGAAGGGCAGCCCGAGCGCGCAGUCCUUCGAGGAGCUGCAGAGCCAGCGCAUCCUGGCCAACGUGCGCGAGCGCCAGCGCACCCAGUCGCUCAACGAGGCCUUCGCCGCGCUGCGCAAGAUCAUCCCCACGCUGCCCUCGGACAAGCUCAGCAAGAUCCAGACGCUCAAGCUGGCCGCCAGGUACAUAGACUUCCUCUACCAGGUCCUGCAGAGCGACGAGAUGGACAAUAAGAUGACCAGCUGCAGCUACGUGGCCCACGAGCGCCUCAGCUACGCCUUCUCCGUGUGGCGCAUGGAGGGCGCGUGGUCCAUGUCCGCCUCCCACUAGCGCCGCGCCACCCACGUCUGGACCCGAGCGCCAGGAGCAGUGUAAUCUUGGUCACAGCAAAAUUGAGGAAAAGUAGAAUGAUUUCCUGUGUACCCCCCCACCUCCGCACGUGCACAGCCUCCCUUGUCGUCAGCGUCCUCCACCAGAGGGUGCAUCUGUCACAGUUGAUGAACCUACCCAGACACGGCCUCAUCACCCCAAAACCAGAGGCUGUCCUGUGGGGCUGAGGCUCAAGUGGAACUGGGACGCCUCCACAUCUGUCACUUCUGAAACCUGAACAACCUCAAGGAAGCCUCCCCAUCUGCGGUCCAGCACAGCGUGUGGACGAGGGGACAGCAGCGGCACCGAGUGGGAGAGCCCGGACUGCUCAGCUCCUGCCCCAGAGAUGGUCCCCACAGAGGACGCGGCACUCACGGUCCUUCUUGCCGGUGACAUUUCCUUGUCAUCCUGGCCACUGUUCGGAUAUUUCUUCUCGGUUUUAUUUUUUUUUUUUAGGGGGGGGAUUUAUUCUUUCCGAAAAUCUCUAGAUUCAGGAACAUAUUUACAAGGAUUGAAAUUUUGGAUUUGUAUUUCCCUCUAAGUGCCUUUUUUUAAUGUAUAUUUUUUUAAUAAAACAGAAAUGCAUUCCUGUACCUUCUGUUUAAACUGGACCAAGGCUCUCAGAAAAAGAACCUCGUGUUCCCUGACCCCCAGCCUCUGCAUGACUGUUCCACGAAAGCCUGGGACCCUCCUCACUCCUCGCCUCUUCUCUUUCUCAUGAUUUGCUCAGCUAACCAUUUUUAAAAUAUUUUCUGUUUCAGUGUAUAUGUUGCUUAUUUGUUUUAUUUAUUGAGAUAUUUUUAACAAGCUCGGUGACUGCAACGUGGCUGUGUACCCCGCUCCCCUCCCAGGAAUAAUAAAGAUGUCGGUGCAGCGCG